UUCUUUUUCCACCGGAGCUUGCUCCACCGGAAAAAGAGGAGUGGCGAACGGGUGAGUAACACGUGGGUAACCUGCCCAUCAGAAGGGGAUAACACUUGGAAACAGGUGCUAAUACCGUAUAACAAUCGAAACCGCAUGGUUUUGAUUUGAAAGGCGCUUUCGGGUGUCGCUGAUGGAUGGACCCGCGGUGCAUUAGCUAGUUGGUGAGGUAACGGCUCACCAAGGCCACGAUGCAUAGCCGACCUGAGAGGGUGAUCGGCCACAUUGGGACUGAGACACGGCCCAAACUCCUACGGGAGGCAGCAGUAGGGAAUCUUCGGCAAUGGACGAAAGUCUGACCGAGCAACGCCGCGUGAGUGAAGAAGGUUUUCGGAUCGUAAAACUCUGUUGUUAGAGAAGAACAAGGAUGAGAGUAACUGUUCAUCCCUUGACGGUAUCUAACCAGAAAGCCACGGCUAACUACGUGCCAGCAGCCGCGGUAAUACGUAGGUGGCAAGCGUUGUCCGGAUUUAUUGGGCGUAAAGCGAGCGCAGGCGGUUUCUUAAGUCUGAUGUGAAAGCCCCCGGCUCAACCGGGGAGGGUCAUUGGAAACUGGGAGACUUGAGUGCAGAAGAGGAGAGUGGAAUUCCAUGUGUAGCGGUGAAAUGCGUAGAUAUAUGGAGGAACACCAGUGGCGAAGGCGGCUCUCUGGUCUGUAACUGACGCUGAGGCUCGAAAGCGUGGGGAGCAAACAGGAUUAGAUACCCUGGUAGUCCACGCCG
rnacentral:rRNA from 1 species